AGAUUGCAUAUUUUUGGCUUAAAUAUUGAUACACUUAUAGGGUCUUUGCAUCGGAACUAAACACAUUUAUUUAAAAAAAAACAGUUGUUGGCAUGGCACGGGUUAUGUUCUUCUCAUAUAUUUUAUGAUAGUAUGAUACUAAACCCCUAACGGGAAGGAUUGUGCCUGAUAUUCAUAUGAUGAAGACAUAAUCUUUCAAUGAGUUUAAUUGAGGUCUGGAGCUGGCAUGUCAGUUAACUUCUAGUAGUCUGUUGUUAUUUAUGUAUUAUUGUCAUUUUCUUUUUUUUUCUUUUUUUACAUCUUCUGACAUCGGACUCAGACUUCUCUUGAACUGAAUUUUAAUGUGCGUAUUGUUAUGCGUUUACUUCUCUACAUUGGUUAGAGGUAUAGGGGGAGGGUUGAGAUCUCAUAAACAUGUUUAACCCCGCCGCAAUUUUGCGCAUGUCCCAAGUCAGGAGCCUCUGGCCUUUGUUAGUCUUGUAUGAUUUUUAAUUUUAGUUUCUUGUGUAUAAUUCGGAGUAUGACGUCUAUUAUCACUGUACUAGUAUACAUAUUUUUAAGGGCCAGCUGAAGGACGCCUACGGGUGCGGGAGUUUCUAGCUACAUUGAAGACCCAUUGGUGGUCUUCGGCUGUUGUCUACUCUAUGGUCGGGUUGUUGACGCUUUGACACAUUCCCCAUUUCCUUUCUCAAUUUUAUUAAUAUUACAACUGAGGAAAGGAGACCUAUAACUGUUUUAACAUGUAUUCUACUAUUGUUGAGUUUUUCUUAUGUUUGUUCUUUCUAUGUAUUUGCUUUGACCAAAAUUAGUUUUUG
rnacentral:lncRNA from 1 species